GCUUAACACAUGCAAGUCGAGGGGCAGCAUGGUCUUAGCUUGCUAAGACUGAUGGCGACCGGCGCACGGGUGAGUAACACGUAUCCAACCUGCCGUCUACUCUUGGACAGCCUUCUGAAAGGAAGAUUAAUACAAGAUGGCAUCAUGAGUCCGCAUGUUCACAUGAUUAAAGGUAUUCCGGUAGACGAUGGGGAUGCGUUCCAUUAGAUAGUAGGCGGGGUAACGGCCCACCUAGUCUUCGAUGGAUAGGGGUUCUGAGAGGAAGGUCCCCCACAUUGGAACUGAGACACGGUCCAAACUCCUACGGGAGGCAGCAGUGAGGAAUAUUGGUCAAUGGGCGAGAGCCUGAACCAGCCAAGUAGCGUGAAGGAUGACUGCCCUAUGGGUUGUAAACUUCUUUUAUAAAGGAAUAAAGUCGGGUAUGCAUACCCGUUUGCAUGUACUUUAUGAAUAAGGAUCGGCUAACUCCGUGCCAGCAGCCGCGGUAAUACGGAGGAUCCGAGCGUUAUCCGGAUUUAUUGGGUUUAAAGGGAGCGUAGAUGGAUGUUUAAGUCAGUUGUGAAAGUUUGCGGCUCAACCGUAAAAUUGCAGUUGAUACUGGAUAUCUUGAGUGCAGUUGAGGCAGGCGGAAUUCGUGGUGUAGCGGUGAAAUGCUUAGAUAUCACGAAGAACUCCGAUUGCGAAGGCAGCCUGCUAAGCUGCAACUGACAUUGAGGCUCGAAAGUGUGGGUAUCAACCAGGAUUAGAUACCCUGGUAGUCCACACGGUAAACGAUGAAUACUCGCUGUUUGCGAUAUACUGCAAGCGGCCAAGCGAAAGCGUUAAGUAUUCCACCUGGGGAGUACGCCGGCAACGGUGAAACUCAAAGGAAUUGACGGGGGCCCGCACAAGCGGAGGAACAUGUGGUUUAAUUCGAUGAUACGCGAGGAACCUUACCCGGGCUUAAAUUGCAGAUGAAUUACGGUGAAAGCCGUAAGCCGCAAGGCAUCUGUGAAGGUGCUGCAUGGUUGUCGUCAGCUCGUGCCGUGAGGUGUCGGCUUAAGUGCCAUAACGAGCGCAACCCUUGUUGUCAGUUACUAACAGGUUCCGCUGAGGACUCUGACAAGACUGCCAUCGUAAGAUGUGAGGAAGGUGGGGAUGACGUCAAAUCAGCACGGCCCUUACGUCCGGGGCUACACACGUGUUACAAUGGGGGGUACAGAGGGCCGCUACCACGCGAGUGGAUGCCAAUCCCCAAAACCUCUCUCAGUUCGGACUGGAGUCUGCAACCCGACUCCACGAAGCUGGAUUCGCUAGUAAUCGCGCAUCAGCCACGGCGCGGUGAAUACGUUCCCGGGCCUUGUACACACCGCCCGUCAAGCCAUGGGAGCCGGGGGUACCUGAAGUGCGUAACCGCGAGGAGCGCCCUAGGGUAAAACUGGUGACUGGGGCUAAG
rnacentral:rRNA from 1 species